UCUGGUUGAAACUCACACCCAAUAGCCCCAAUACCCUAAACCGUUUCCAUUUUUUUUUCCCUUUCUGUCCAGUGACGCUUACUUGUACCACCAUUGAUUGCCAAUUUACAACCAACCUCCGUUCUUUGUAACCUCUCACAGCAUGAGCACCUCUGUUCACCGCCCGGAAGACUUCUUCUUUUGUUCCCUCUCUUCUUCACCUUGGAAUGUUCAACCAUUCUGAUGACCACUGCAGAGAAUAUGAGAUUCGACUUCUCAUUUUUCACUCGCUUCGGCGACUACUACCUCGUUGGGAUUAACCAAGAGGGUCUGGAAUUCUGGAACAAAAUCUGCAAGUCCUUCUUCAUCUCCACAACUACGAACGUCAAUCCGAGCUCCUCCGAUGAUGGGUUUACGUUCUCCUCUUGCCCUUAGAAGCCCAGGUAUCUCUGUAUCUUGUUCUUGUUAGUCCAGGAUUCCAGUGGAAUUCCCACCAAUUUCAAACAAAUCCAGAGAAAUUCUGAAAGGUUCCAUGAUGGGCUAGCAGAACAAUUAUCAACAGGGGAGGAAAAAUUCAACAUGCACCAAGAAAGCUCAUGCAACGGAGAGGAAGAAUACAAAGAAAAAGAAGGGAAGGAGAAAUUCGAAGAAAGGACUUAUAGGAAGAGGAAGAAGAGAAGAAGGGACUGAUAGGAAGAGGAACAAGGAAGAACGAAGAAAAGAAGAAAGAGGAACGAAGAAGAUGGGGCAGAUUAAAGAAGAGGAAUUCCUUAAUAUACAAUAAACAUCUCAUUUCAUUAACUGAAUUCCUCAACUGUAAACAAAAUUCUGAAUUCCUUAACUGUAAGAAACAAUAAACAUCCCAUUUCAUUACUGUAAAAUUUUUAAAUAAGGGUUCCAUUACAGUCUUCUAUGUAGAGUGAAUAAAAAGUUUUCUUCUUCAACCCUUGCUUCGCCGUGAUUCCCUCUCCACCUCCACCACCAGUGUUGUUGAUGCAGGACGAGUUGAAGCGAAUUGCUACAUUUAGGCUUUGUUUGGUUGCAAGGGGAAUGCAAAUUUUUUAUGUAAAGUGAAAGAUGAUUGAUUGCAGGGGAAAUAUAUUUACCAUGUGAAAAAAAUUCUACUUAAACAUUAAAAUUUUCGUUUUCAUUUCCCGACCAAAAUAGGAAGAAAAAUAAAAACCCUACUCACAAUCUCUUUCUCUCACCCUCUCGUGACUCACUCUCCCUGCCCUGCUCACGACUCAUUUUUCAUGGCCGAGCAGUUGAGACUCUCAACCCUUGGACUGGGUUUUUUGGUUCCCUCAGUCUAGGAAGCUGUGGAUUAGGGUUUAAAGCUUCUUUCUCUCUGUUUUUAUCCUCCACAGAGCCGCCUCCCUGUUUGAUCCAUCCCAUUUUCGGCACCUGUGACUGAGAGAGCCAGAGAGCUUUCUUCUCAGAUUGAGAGAUUCAAAGUGAAGUAAGCGAUGGGUUGUGUAAUCUGAGCACAAAGGAAGGGAGCGGGCAGAAGACAGAUUUGAAUUGUUUUUGAGUUGGAAGGAUUUUUUGGGGCCAAAAUAUUUCUUCAUUCUUGCUCGGAUAAGGAAGCUUUGAAUAUCAGAAAGGAAAAGAAUUCAUGAAGUUGAGAAACAUGACUUGGUCCCUAUUUGAAGAACUUAAGGAAGUUGUGGGUGAAGAUCACGCCACAGGGGAAUUUUCUCAAUCAAAUAGAGAUUCUUUCCGUCAGAUAAAAGAUAAGGGAACAACUUCUAAAGAACCUAGGCUAUACAUCCAUCCAGUGGACCACAUGGAGAUUGUUGAGACCGAUGGCAGUGAAGAUUUAAACACCCAAGUCCCAAUGUCCACAUCGCAUUCUGGAGAGGGGAGUGGAGCUGGUGCAUCUCGAGAGAGAAAGAGAGCAAAGGUAGCAUUGGAUGGCCAAAUAUUUGUUGUAGUCGCCUCUAUAGAUAGUUUGGCGACUGUGGUCAAAGAGAGGCAUGUCUCUCUUAAAGCAUUGUUGGAUGCUAUACUGGAAGUAGAUGGAUUUAGCGAAGAUACACUUGACAUCGUCUUUGAUUUCCUCAUAAUAAAUGAACCUCAAGCAAAGGCAUUUUUAGUUAGGAAUGUGGAGCAACGGAGGAGGUGGAUCUUGAGGUUUCUUAAUCAUGGCCAUUGAUGUGGUAAGAUAAAUACAAUCAUUAAUUAUUUCCUUCACUUCACUUCCCUUCCCUUUCCUUCCCUUCCCAUUUCCCUUGCAACCAAACGCAACCUUAAGGCCAUUGAGUCCGUGGAAUCGGGAAUGGUUUUAGGGCUAGGAACUGGGUCUAUAGCCAAGUACGCAGUGGAGCAAAUAGGAGAGCUUCUGCAAGAGGGGAAACUCAAGAACAUCAUUGGAAUACCCACUUCUAAGAAAACCCAUAAACAGGCGAUGUCGUUUUGAUUAGAUGUUGAUUUAUUUCCCGCCCUAUGUCUUCUCCUCCGUUUUAAUGGUUACUUGGAAAUAUCAUUAGUUGCUUAUGUUUCUGGUUGUCGGAGUUAAUGAAAUGGGAUGUUCAUUGUAAAAAAAAAAAUAUAAACGAAGAGCAAAUCUGCCCCUUCUUCGUUCUUCUGUCUUC